GGGUGCGUUCCACUAAGCGCUCACAACGAUCAAAAUGCUCCUUUAGUCGUUCCACAUAACGACCGCGGUCGUUGUGGUCGCGGCGAAAACGUCACUCAUGACGUCAUGACUAACGCUCACGCGAAGCUCACAACGACCCAUCUGAAAAGGUAGGUUGAAGUGAGCGUUGAGAAAAUUAGCGGCACUUUCAAAACUGAAAGCAACAAAAAUGGCGACCGUGAAACUUACAUUAUUUAAUGCGGAAAGAGAUAUUUUAGUAGAUGUGGAUGUUUCUGCAGCGGAUGCUCAACGUGCCUCAACAGAUACACUAUUUGCGACACAACUUUUGAACAAAGUUUUAAAUGAACAACCGCAAAUAUCAACGUCCGCUGAUCUUGCUGAUGAAAAUUUAUUAAUGAAAAUUAUUAGAUAAUGGAAGAAAUUUUUUCCAAAAAAGCUUGGUGUGAUCCAGUUGCUGUUGCAUCUUCCACAGGUCUAUCAAAAAAACAAUUAGAAAGUAAUGAUAGUAUGGGAGGAUCUGAUAGUGGAUGUUCAAUAAAAUCAAAUAAGACACCAAUUGCCACUUUAUUAGGAAAAAGACUGAAGCAAAAAGAAGAACAUGAACAA